rnacentral:rRNA from 1 species
AUUGAACGCUGGCGGCAGGCCUAACACAUGCAAGUCGAGCGAGCGGCGGACGGGUGAGUAAUGUCUGGGAAACUGCCUGAUGGAGGGGGAUAACUACUGGAAACGGUAGCCAAUACCGCAUACCAUCAGAUGUGCCCAGAUGGGAUUAGCUAGUAGGGGGGGUAACGGCUCACCUAGGCGACGAUCCCUAGCUGGUCUGAGAGGAUGACCAGCCACACUGGAACUGAGACACGGGCCAGAAUCCUACGGGAGGCAGCAGUGGGGAAUAUUGCACAAUGGGCGCAAGCCGGAUGCAGCUAUGCCGCGUGUGUGAAGAAGGCCUUCGGGUUGUAAAGCACUUUCAGCGGGGAGGCGUUACCCGCAGAAGAAGCACCGGCUAACUCCGUGCCAGCAGCCGCGGUAAUUC